rnacentral:tRNA from 1 species
GUCCCUUUCGUCUAGUGGUUAGGACAUCGUUUCCCCAUGUCGAAGACACGGGUUCGAUUCCCGUAGGGGAUC